rnacentral:misc_RNA from 1 species
CUGAGUGUAAAACUCCCAAACCCAUUGUGAACAUACCUACUGUUGCUUCGGCGGAUCGCCCCGGGCGCUCCUCUCCAGGGCGUGCCCCGGAUCCAGGCGCCCGCCUAGGGAACCUAACUCUUGUUUUAUUUCAGGAAUCUUCUGAGUAGUGAUUUACAAAUAAAUCA